UUUUAUAAUCAAGUCUUACAGUGAGGAUGAUGUGCACAAAAGCAUUAAAUAUAAUGUUUGGGCUAGCACACCAAAUGGUAACAAGAAGCUUGAUUCUGCUUACCAGGAGGCUCAACAAAAGUCUGGGGGUUGCCCAGUUUUUCUUUUAUUCUCGGUGAGCUUUCUUAAGAUACAUUAUUCUCUAGUCUUUUUUGAUUUUGAGUCACAUUCUCCUUGUUUUGGUUGCUUAACUUUGGUUUUCUUGUCCAGGUAAAUACAAGUGGUCAGUUUGUUGGUGUUGCAGAGAUGGUAGGACCAGUUGAUUUCAACAAGAGUGUGGAGUAUUGGCAGCAAGACAAAUGGAUCGGCUGUUUUCCUGUCAAGUGGCACAUUCAGGUUGCCCAGUUUUUCUUUUCUUCUCGGUGAGCUUCCUUAAGAUACAUUAUUCUCUAGUCUUUUUUGAUUUUGAGUCACAUUUUCCUUAUUUUGAUUGCUUAAUUUUGGUCUUUUUGUCCAGG
rnacentral:lncRNA from 1 species